AAAAUGGUCUUUCAGAAGUCGAUGUGAGCACCGAUCAGCUAGCAAAACUUGGAGCAAUACUGAUUGCGAAUCCAUCCGAGUUGGUGGUUUUCAGUGCCUCCGUAACCUUCUAUGUCCGGUUGCGUAGUGGAUUCCGGUGACCACAGCCUGCCUUAAGCUACAUCAGAAGCAUGUCUGCGUGAGCAGAUGGUAAAUCGGUGUAGAUUAAUUGUAGAGUAAUGUCAUAGUCACUUUUUAAGUUUAGGUUGAAUUAUCUUGAGCUCGAUGCUGUAGAUACCUGUGCCUUUCAGAAUGAAGAGCUUGUUGAGGAAUUCGCCACCGAAUCUCUCGUUGGUGACGCUUGACGGUUGGAUGAGUCUAAUGCUUUGCCCUUGUGAUCGAAUGCUGUUGCUGCGCGCACUCAAAAAUCAAUCAGGUUAUGGUUAUAUUUCAUUUCUAUGUACAAACUGGGAACUUAUAUUAGUAGUUUAGUGGCUUUGUAGGGUCAUUGUUUACCUUGAACCCUACAGUUGGAGCCGACAUAAACUUUUCUGUAAGUGUCGACCUUGACAUCAGUCGGCAUCCCCAACAGAUGCGCCUUUGCAUCGUACACUCCUGUUGCUUAUAUGCGGCAGGACCUUAAUGAGCCGUCGGAGUACACCGUCAAAACGUAGAUGUGUAGUUUUAUCUCGUCUCUUUUGUCAUUUCUGCACCCUCCAGACCAGGAGCCCGUGGAAAUUGUGCCUGCUUCAAAGCAGUAGCUGCUCGAAGCUACACUGUACACUCGAAUUUCAAAUUCCAUUUGCGGAAGAAAUUAAUAAUUUGUUGCUUCCUUCAGUGGCUUACACUACGUUCUCGACUUCAGAGAACACAAGGCCGUUCUUCAGAGUGAAACCAUCCGCCACGGCGUCAACGAUGCCAGACCCUGGAUCGACCCGAUAACUCUGGUAUAACAUUAGUUGUUUGGAUCUGAACCCCUUCAUCCUGGCAUUGACGUUCUCCAACAUCAAACCCUAAUUAACACAUUGUUCUUACAUCGUUUGUACUAAUG
rnacentral:lncRNA from 1 species